GUCGUUGUAACGCAAUGAAUAGCGCGUUGGACAUCUAAUGCAAAGGACGUGGGUUCAAAUCCCACCUACGAUA
rnacentral:tRNA from 1 species